rnacentral:lncRNA from 10 species
CCUUCAGAAUGCAGCAAAGCAUGAGAGAGUAUUAGAAGGCCGCUGAGAAAGACAAACAAGUUUUAGGAUUACAGAAGUAUUCAACAACCAACCAGUGAAGGUGCAAGAACUGGGCCAUCCCAUGGGUCCACCAGGGCUUUGACAAGGCAGGUGCUGGGGCAGAGCACUCUGGCCAGGAAGCAAAAGAUGAAGGUUCCCAUCUUGGCCCCAGCCUGGAUCUGUGCCCAGUGAUAGUCAUCAGCCUGGAUCUGUGCCCAUUGCAUUGUGUGGACAUACCACGCCAUGUUUCUCCAUCACCUUUUGAGGAAACUUCUGUUGUUUCCACCUUCUAACCGUCAUCAGUAAAGCUGCUGUGAACCUU